UGACCAAUGCACGAGUGCCUGAUGCCCC
rnacentral:piRNA from 1 species